rnacentral:rRNA from 1 species
AGAACGAACGCUGGCGGCAGGCUUAACACAUGCAAGUCGAGCGCCCAGCAAUGGGAGCGGCGGACGGGUGAGUAACACGUGGGAACAUGCCUUUCGGUACGGAACAACUUCGGGAAACUGAAGCUAAUGCCGUAUGCGCCCUUACGGGGAAAGAUUUAUCGCCGAAAGAUUGGCCCGCGUCUGAUUAGCUAGUUGGUGAGGUAACGGCUCACCAAGGCUUCGAUCAGUAGCUGGUUUGAGAGAACGACCAGCCACACUGGGACUGAGACACGGCCCAGACUCCUACGGGAGGCAGCAGUGGGGAAUCUUGGACAAUGGAGGAAACUCUGAUCCAGCCAUGCCGCGUGAGUGAUGAAGGCCUUCGGGUUGUAAAACUCUUUUACCAGGGAAGAUAAUGACUGUACCUGGAGAAUAAGCCCGGCUACUUCGUGCCAGCAGCCGC